CGGGCCGUGGCGCAGUCUGGUAGCGCGUUUGACUGGGGGUCAAAAGGUCGCAGGUUCGAAUCCUGUCGGCCCGAC
rnacentral:tRNA from 4 species